AUGCUGUCUGCUUCCUGCUCAGGACUUGUGAUCUUGUUGAUAUUCAGAAGGACCAGUGGAGACUCGGUUACCCAGACAGAAGGCCCAGUUACCCUCCCUGAGAGGGCAGCUCUGACAUUAAACUGCACUUAUCAGUCCAGCUAUUCAACUUUUCUAUUCUGGUAUGUCCAGUAUCUAAACAAAGAGCCUGAGCUCCUCCUGAAAAGUUCAGAAAACCAGGAGACGGACAGCAGAGGUUUUCAGGCCAGUCCUAUCAAGAGUGACAGUUCCUUCCACCUGGAGAAGCCCUCGGUGCAGCUGUCGGACUCUGCCGUGUACUACUGCGCUCUGAGAGA